GCAGUUAAGCGUGCUUGGGCGA
rnacentral:siRNA from 1 species